GAGUUACUGCCAUUGCAUCUUUGUGACAGAGAACAGCUGUUGGCAGGAAGAAGUAGCUUUUAUUAUCACGCACUCAUUCAUAAGCCUUCAUUAUAAAAAACAAAUACGGAGCUAAGAGGCCCAGUUGGCUGCAUUUGUGAUUGGAAAUAAAAGCUGAUAACAUAGCACAAAAGUGCAUAGAACCACUGAUCAGUUCAUCUACGCACGUUCGCCUUUACAGAAGGGAAAGAAUGGAUUGGCGAAGAGUUUUGCUUUGGGUAGGGAUCUGCGUAAUUAUAAGUACUUGCCUUGAAGAAGGAGUGGAAGCUUUUCAUCAGAGAACUGGAAGAAGGAGAUCAAGUGGAAAGAGGAAUUUAUGGGUAGAGAGGAAUGAAAUCCAUCCCUUAGACAACCUAAAGCGAAGAGAAGAAAUACUGAAGAUAUAUGAGACAGGCAUUGCGGAGGACGAUGCACCGUUAGUAGAAGAAAGCCGGUCACAAGGACAGUUUUAACCAGAAGAACACAGAAACAUCAUCUAAGUUAACUCUUAACGUACUCGCGAUCACGAUAGAUACCAUCAAUAUUGCCGUAUAGUGUGACCUAUACUAGUAUUCACGGGUAAACAUAACUUAAAAAAGAAAAAUAAUAAAAAAUGUUGAAGCCUA